CAGAACCUCUUGUGUUGUCUUCAGAUAUGGAAGAAAGUAUACAAAUCAUUCGCCCUGAACAUGACCUUGCUUAUGAAGAGAACGAUGAUUACAUUAGAGCAUAUGUACCAAGAGGAGGAUUUGAAGAGUCCAAUGACUUCACUCUGGUUGGCAAUCUCGGACCAGGAAGUAUGGACACUUUAAGUAUACGAGCCAGGGUGAGUUAAGCUGACUUGAUAAGAAAUGGUUAUAGUGAAUAAAAAUCAAUUUGCAAUGGCCAAUAUUGUCAG
rnacentral:sRNA from 1 species